CAGCCGCCGCGGUAAUACGUAGGUGGCAAGCGUUGUCCGGAUUUAUUGGGCGUAAAGCGAGCGCAGGCGGUCAAUUAAGUCUGAUGUGAAAGCCCCCGGCUCAACCGGGGAGGGUCAUUGGAAACUGGUUGACUUGAGUGCAGAAGAGGAGAGUGGAAUUCCAUGUGUAGCGGUGAAAUGCGUAGAUAUAUGGAGGAACACCAGUGGCGAAGGCGACUCUCUGGUCUGUAACUGACGCUGAGGCUCGAAAGCGUGGGUAGCAAACAGGAUUAGAUACCCCUGUAGUCCCUGUCUCUUAUAC
rnacentral:rRNA from 1 species